UACGUAGGGUGCAAGCGUUGUCCGGAAUUAUUGGGCGUAAAGGGCUCGUAGGCGGUCUGUCACGUCGGGAGUGAAAACUCAGGGCUUAACCCUGAGCCUGCUUCCGAUACGGGCAGACUAGAGGUAUGCAGGGGAGAACGGAAUUCCUGGUGUAGCGGUGAAAUGCGCAGAUAUCGGGAGGAACACCGGUGGCGAAGGCGGCCCCCUGGUUGGAU
rnacentral:rRNA from 1 species